GUUCCUGGAUCCCGAGUGACAGCCUUCACAUCAUCAGCAGCAGCAGCAGUAGAGAAUAUAAUCCACGGAGGUUUUAUAUCGGUAUGUACGGCGUUUUAAUCACUGUUCUGUCGUCUAAGAAGCUGGUAAACUUAUCAAAAGAUCCAACUUCUUUCCAGGAAAGAUUACGGUGUCUUUAGCGAAGGCUCCAUCAGGUAAAUACCUGACACACAAUAAAUGUUACCAUUACAGUCAUCUCGUGGCGAUGGAGAGGGGGAUGCUUAAUCUCUCUCAGUCUAAAUUUGACACUGAACUAAGGCCAGCAGCAGCAGUCUAAAGAGCCACGGCUGUGUCUCCACCAACAGCACACAGGACAGAGCCAAC